UACGGGGGGGGCAAGCGUUGUUCGGAAUUACUGGGCGUAAAGGGUUCGUAGGUGGCCAACUAAGUCAGACGUGAAAUCCCUCAGCUUAACUGGGGAACUGCGUCUGAUACUGGUUGGCUUGAGUGCAGGAGAGGAACGCGGAAUUCCAGGUGUAGCGGUGAAAUGCGUAGAUAUCUGGAGGAACACCGGUGGCGAAGGCGGCGUUCUGGACUGCAACUGACACUGAUGAACGAAAGCCAGGGUAGCAAACGGG
rnacentral:rRNA from 1 species